rnacentral:rRNA from 1 species
CCUACGGGGUGCAGCAGUGGGGAAUAUUGCACAAUGGGGGAAACCCUGAUGCAGCGACGCCGCGUGAGUGAAGAAGUAUUUCGGUAUGUUAAGCUCUAUCAGCAGGAACGAGACAAGACGGUACCUGACUAAGAAGCCCCGGCUAACUACGCUCCAGCAGCCGCGGUAAUACGUAGGGGGCAAGCGUUAUCCGGAAUCACUGGGUGUAAAGGGAGCGUAGACGGCUGAGCAAGCCUGAAGGGAAAGGCGGGGGCCCAACCCCUGGACGGCUUGGGAAACUGUACGGCUGGAGUGCAGGAGGGGUAAGUGGAAUUCCUGGUGUAGCGGUGAAAUGCGUAGAUAUUAGGAGGAACACCAGUGGCGAAGGCGGCUUACUGGACUGUAACUGACGUUGAGGCUCGAAAGCGUGGGGAGCAAACAGGAUUAGAUACCCGAGUAGUC